GGACAGUCAGAAGGAAAUUAGCUCAGUUCUGGAACAAUAAUGGGCGUACCAGCAUUCUGCUGUCACCAGCUCUGGCAUGUCUCUGCUUCUGUCACAGUGGAAAUGAAAACUGAAUCAAUCAGCUCAACCUUACUGGCAAAAGCUUCAAUUAAAAAG
rnacentral:lncRNA from 1 species